CCUACGGGAGGCAGCAGUGAGGAAUAUUGGUCAAUGGGCGUAAGCCUGAACCAGCCAAGUCGCGUGAGGGAUGAAGGUUCUAUGGAUCGUAAACCUCUUUUAUAAGGGAAUAAAGUGUGGGACGUGUCCUGUUUUGUAUGUACUUUAUGAAUAAGGAUCGGCUAACUCCGUGCCAGCAGCCGCGGUAAUACGGAGGAUCCGAGCGUUAUCCGGAUUUAUUGGGUUUAAAGGGUGCGUAGGCGGGUUUUUAAGUCAGUGGUGAAAGUCUGUGGCUCAACCAUAGAAUUGCCGUUGAUACUGGGAGGCUUGAGUAUAUUUGAGGCAGGCGGAAUGCGUGGUGUAGCGGUGAAAUGCUUAGAUAUCACGCAGAACCCCGAUUGCGAAGGCAGCCUGCCAAGCCAUGACUGACGCUGAUGCACGAAAGCGUGGGGAUCAAACAGGAUUAGAUACCCCUGUAGUC
rnacentral:rRNA from 1 species